UACAGAGGUCUCAAGCGUUGUUCGGAAUCACUGGGCGUAAAGGGUGUGUAGGCGGCGUGGAAAGUCAGAUGUGAAAUCCGGGGGCUCAACCCCCGAAUAGCAUCCGAUACUGCCAUGCUGGAGGUCUGUAGAGGAGUCUGGAAUUCUCGGUGUAGCAGUGAAAUGCGUAGAUAUCGAGAGGAACACUUAUAGCGAAAGCAAGACUCUGGGCAGAAACUGACGCUGAAACACGAAGGCAGGGUAGCGAACGGG
rnacentral:rRNA from 1 species